rnacentral:rRNA from 1 species
GUUGAACGCUGGCGGCAUGCCUUACACAUGCAAGUCGAACGGUAACAGGUCUUCGGAUGCUGACGAGUGGCGAACGGGUGAGUAAUACAUCGGAACGUGCCCGAUCGUGGGGGAUAACGAAGCGAAAGCUUUGCUAAUACCGCAUACGAUCUACGGAUGAAAGCAGGGGACCGCAAGGCCUUGCGCGAACGGAGCGGCCGAUGGCAGAUUAGGUAGUUGGUGGGAUAAAAGCUUACCAAGCCGACGAUCUGUAGCUGGUCUGAGAGGACGACCAGCCACACUGGGACUGAGACACGGCCCAGACUCCUACGGGAGGCAGCAGUGGGGAAUUUUGGACAAUGGGCGAAAGCCUGAUCCAGCCAUGCCGCGUGCAGGAUGAAGGCCUUCGGGUUGUAAACUGUUUUUGUACGGAACGAAAAGACUCUGGUUAAUACCUGGGGUCCAUGACGGUACCGUAAGAAUAAGCACCGGCUAACUACGUGCCAGCCGCCGCGGUAA